AGUGAACGCUGGCGGUAGGCCUAACACAUGCAAGUCGAACGGCAGCACAGUAAGAGCUUGCUCUUACGGGUGGCGAGUGGCGGACGGGUGAGGAAUACAUCGGAAUCUACUUUUUCGUGGGGGAUAACGUAGGGAAACUUACGCUAAUACCGCAUACGACCUACGGGUGAAAGCAGGGGAUCUUCGGACCUUGCGCGAUUGAAUGAGCCGAUGUCGGAUUAGCUAGUUGGCGGGGUAAAGGCCCACCAAGGCGACGAUCCGUAGCUGGUCUGAGAGGAUGAUCAGCCGCACUGGAACUGAGACACGGUCCAGACUCCUGCGGGAGGCAGCAGUGUGGAAUAUUAGACAAUGGGCGCAAGCCUUAUCCAGCCAUACCGCGUGGGUGAAGAAGGCCUUCGGGUUGUAAAGCCCUUUUGUUGGGAAAGAAAAGCAGCAGGUUAAUACCCCGCUGUUCUGACGGUACCCAAAGAAUAAGCACCGGCUAACUUCGUG
rnacentral:rRNA from 1 species